rnacentral:rRNA from 1 species
UACGUAGGGUGCAAGCGUUGUCCGGAAUUAUUGGGCGUAAAGGGCUCGUAGGCGGUCUGUCACGUCGGGUGUGAAAACUCAGGGCUUAACCCUGAGCCUGCUUCCGAUACGGGCAGACUAGAGGUAUGCAGGGGAGAACGGAAUUCCUGGUGUAGCGGUGAAAUGCGCAGAUAUCAGGAGGAACACCGGUGGCGAAGGCGGUUCUCUGGGCAUUACCUGACGCUGAGGCGCGAAAGCUAGGGGAGCGAACAGG